AGUUCAAGAAAUCCACCUGAUUCAGACUGGGUAAGAAGGUAGGCUAAGGAAGGUAUGAUCAACUCUGGUCAAGAGAAGUCUUGAUAAGGUCAAAAAGCUAAUGAUUUAGAAGUCAAAGUGAUUAAGCUGAAGUUCCGGCCCUGGUAGUCAGAAUGACAUUAAGAGUUGAAGAUUUUAGGGGCAGCCCACGUGGCUCAGUGGUUUAGUGCCUCCUUCAGCCCAGGGCCUGAUCCUGGAGACCCGGGAUUGAGUCCCACGUCGGGCUCCCUGCAUGGAGCCUGCCUCUCCCUCUCUCUCUGUGUCUCUCAUGAAUAAAUGAAUAAAGUCUUAAAAAAAAAGAGUUGAUGAUUUUAGAGCUGGAACUCUUCUAUGUAACAACAUGGGUAGUAGGAAUGGAUGUCUGAAGUUGAGUAAAAGUAAAGGUCAUUAGAGUAUUAAAGAACAAGGAGUUCCCACAUUCAGCUGCAAAGGUAGGUGGCUCAUGUAUCUGUGGUUUUGUUGUUAUCUCUUGUUAAACCCAACUGUAUUUUUUAUAUAUAUAUAUAUAUGAAGAUUAAAGCAUUUAGCUUAGAAAACAACAAUAACGAAUUACAGAUGUGGGAUUUUGGAUCAGGAAAUCAAGUUGUUGGAAUGAAUCCAGAAUUAUGCAGGAUUGGGGAGAAAAUGAAGCCUCUACCAUAACUGUUAUUGAAGUGACCAGGACUAGCAAAGAACAUAAAGGAGAGUGUAGCCUGAUGGAAUAAACUCCAAAAACAGGAGGAAUGGCAUAUAAAUAUCUUGGAAGAAAGUUAAUUUUUUUGCUUCAUUAUAUAAAUAUCUUAGAAGAAUAAUGACUGAAUAAUGCCCUGAAAAUGACUUUAGGGAUCUAGAAGUAUCUGUUUCCCCACCUUCUGGUAUUGGAGAGGGGAAAAAAAAACCCUCUUGUAAACAAAGCAGUGUCUUAGGGGAAACUUAGGUGUAAUUUGAAUGAAUGGGUUGAGGGAAAUUCUCUAAAAAGUUUUUGUGUGAGGCAUCAGGGAAAUGAGCAGACCAGGAAGGAAGGUAUAAGUGAGUGGGAGAGUUCUGCAUUUGAGGCAGAAUCCAAAGAUUAUAGAGAAAUGGGAACCACUUGUGCAAUGAAUUAACCUUAAAGUUCCCAACUUUGGUUUAAAAGUUGUUUGGUAUUUGUACUGACCGAUGGAGCCCAGUCUCCUUAAGCCUGCCUGAGUGGUAGGUUAAGCAUUCCACCUUUAAGAAGGCAUCCGAAGGCAAAAAGAGAAGACAGCAGUAGUUUGAAACUGAUUACAAAGAGGAAAAUUAGGCUAGACUAACACAAACAACUGGCAAAGUGUCCUUGACUCAUUUUGCAAAUAUUUAUUGAACUACCAGAACUUACUGGUAUAUUCCCUGCCACCAAGAAUGGCACACAAAGUAUGUGUUCCUUAAAUACUUGCUAAAGGAAUGAAUUGUUCAUUGUGAAAAUUCAGAAAAAAAUUACAAAGAGUUGACUGUUGACUGUUUCAACAGUCUCUGAACAGCAGCAAUAGUGGAUAAGCAGAGAGAUGAAACCUCUAACAAGAAAACAACUUUGGAAGGUUACUCCCCAGACAAAGCUGGGCCUCUCUUGGAAAACUUUUACAUGAGCUGCAUGACUAAGACCAAGUAAGAGCCAAAUACUCUUAUCAACCAAGGAUAGCUUUUCUUCAAGACAUCUUCAAAACAUCUCCUAAUGACAGGAAGAGAGCACUCAAUACUGAUAACCACAGUGUGUAAAGUGGCCCCUUCAGGUAAGAAAAAAGUUUUGAUAUAUAUGGAAAUUUGGUGACAGAGGCACUUAGUGUAUUUACAUGGACCUUUUUGAGCCUUGUUUUGACUUAUUAUAGGUAGAUACUCGAGAUUAAUAGAAAAUACAAGCUCUUAGUUAUUAAAUCUUUAUUAUAAUAUUUAGUUGAGAAAGCUCAAACUGAAUAGAAUUUACACAGUAUAUGAACUUUUCUCAAAGUAGUCAUAUUAACUGCUUAGGACUACAUACCCAUGAACGACCACUAUUCUUGAUCUAGUGCCAGCUACCGACCUUACAGCCUCAAAUCCAAUUAGUAACAUCAAACUGUUAUUUAUGCUAGAAUACUUAUAUUUCCAACUAGAAAGAAAACUCUUAUGUUAGCAGACCUGUUGGCAGGGGGCAGAGGUGGGGCAUGGGCAGUUGGCAGAGGCAACUUACUGAAAUCACCCCAUGAGAAGACCAUCUACUCAUAUAUACACAGGGAAGUCCUGGCAUCAUUCAGUGAUCAGGAGUCCUGGCUCAACAUUAAGGUCCUUGUCUGAAAUGCCUUUUAUUAUUAGGAAAGUCUGAGUCAGCCUCAGACUUCCCUCCUUGCAUUUGAGUCAUUUCCUUUUCCAGUGACCAAAACUGGUACAACUAUGUAUGAGAAAUAUUCAAAAAUACAAAGUUUUAGAACUAAAGAGACAUUAGAGGUCAUUGUGUUCAGGGUACUCAUUUCACAAAUGUUAAAACUGAGGCCAAAAGAUUGUGCCUUUUGCCCAGUUGCACAGCCUCUAUCAGGUGGCUUUUGCUACACGUGAGGCCCUCUUACCUAGAAGCUGAUUUCACAGCAAAUUUGGGACUCUGGCUUUCAUUUACUUUUAUUAGAAGUAAGCAAACUAAAUACUUAGGUUGGAAGUCUGAGAGGAACUCAGGGCCCAAACAAACAAGCUGGCGUCUAUGGUAUCCCCUUCAAGUAAUAUAUGAUGGUGUCCUGCAGUGAACCAAGGAGAGGGCUCAUGUAGAACCAGCAUCUUCUAACUCAGGGUUUCUCUACCUUGGGACUAUGAACAUUUUGGACCAGAUAUAUCUUUGUUGUGGAGGUUGUCCUGUGUAUUUUAGGAUAUUAACAGUAGCUCUGUCCUCUAACCACUAGAUGCUCAGUCAGAGCAACAAAAAAGUCCCCAGACAUUGCCACAUGUCCCCUAGGGUCCUCUGGUUGAGAACCCCUAUAAAAUCUUUAAAAAGGGGGGGCAGCCCCGGUGGCUCAGCCGUUUAGUGCCGCCUUUGGCCCAGGGUAUGAUCCUGGAGACCCAGGAUUGAGUCCCGCGUCGAGGUCCCCGCGUGGAGCCUGCUUCUCCCUCUGCCUGUGUCCCUGCCUCUCUGUCUCUCAUGAAUAAAUAAAUAAAAUUAAAAAAAAAAAAAAAAAA
rnacentral:lncRNA from 1 species